GGAAAAUCUCAUUAAGAGUGUAUGGCGGAUGCCUGGACAUAAGAAGACGAAGAAGGACGUAGCAGCCUGCGAUAAGCUGCGGUCAGGUGGCAAGCAACCUUUGACCCGCAGAUCUCCGAAUGGGGAAACCCCCUCAAUUGAAGAUUGAGGAAGCUCAGCCUUUUAGGCGAGCUGGAACACCCGGCGAACUGAAACAUCUUAGUAGCUGGAGGAAAAGAAAAUAAUAAUUAUUCCCUAAGUAGUGGCGAGCGAAAGGGGAACAGCCUAAACCUAAAUAACUGCAGAUAGAACUUGGUUCGCCAAGUUUUAUCUUGAAGGUUCUGGGACCAUAUGUUUUUUAGGGGUUGCAAGACCUAACGCCUAUUUCCAGAGAAAUGGGGCGGAGUCAGAAAAGUUAAUUUUUAGCAGAACGAGUUGGAAAGCUCGGCCAGAGACGGUGAUAGCCCGGUAAGCGAAAGGAAUCAACUCUCCGUAGUUAGUGUUCUUAAGUAGGGCGGGACUCGUGAAAUCCCGUCUGAAGCCAGGUCGACUAUGACCUAAGGCUAAAUACUUCUUAUGAUCGAUAGUGAACAAGUACCGUGAGGGAAAGGUGAAAAGCAUCCCGUUGAGGGAGGUGAAAUAGUACCUGAAACCAUAUACUUACAAGGAGUCGGAGCCCGCAAGGGUGACGGCGUGCCUAUUGAAGAAUGAGCCAACGAGUUUGUUCUAUGUGGCUUACAUAAUCUCCGUUUGGAGAGUAUGUGGAGUGAAAGCGAGGGUUAAUAGCCCGUUUGUGCUUCGCUUUCGUUGCGUUAUUUAUUAGCGCCGCGGAAGCGUAGCAUUUGUCGCAUAGACAAGACCCGAAGCCGGGUGAUCUUACCAUGGCCAGGUUGAAGUUCGUCGAAAGACGGAUGGAGGACCGAACCCACGCACCGUGCAACAUGCGGGGAUGAGUUGUGGUAAGCGCAGAAAUUGUAAUCGAACUCGGCAAUAGCUGGUUCUCCUCGAAAUAGCUUUUGGGCUAGCCUCGGAUGUUGACCUCAGGGGGUAGAGCACUGGAUGAGGGCGGGUCGCAAGAUACCGUCUUCAAUCAAACUCCGAAUACUUGAGGGUAGAGUCCGGGAGUCAGACUAUGGGCGCUAAGGUCCAUCAGUCAAAAGGGAAACAGCCCGGAUCACAAUCUAAGGUCCCUAAAUCAAGACUAAGUGUAAAAGGUGGUGUUGUGACUACGACAGUUAGGAGGUUGGCUUAGAAGCAGCCAUCCUUUAAAGAUAGCGUAAUAGCUCACUAAUCAAGUUGUUUCGCGCCGAAAAUUUAUCGGGGCUCAAGUCUUGUACCGAAGAUGUGAACUUUCUGGAUUUAUUCAGGGAGUGGUAGAGGAGCAUUCCCUUCAGCGUUGAAGUCGUGUUGUGAAGCACGGUGGAGCGGAGGGAAGGGAGAAUGUUGGCAUGAGUAGCAAAAAGGCGUGUUAAAACCACGCCCACCGCAAACCCAAGGUUUCCUGGGCAACGAAAAUCGACCCAGGGUUAGUCGAUCCUAAGGCGCAGCCUGUGUAGUGCAGGUGCUAGCCGAUGGAUGAGCUGGUUAAUAUUCCAGCACUACUGUUAUUUUCCGAUGGGGGGACGCGGUUCCAAGGUUCAAGCGUGCUAUGAUUUGUACGUCCAUUAUUUCAAGAAACGGCUUAGGUAAAUCCGGGCCACUAGUUUUAAGGGAUUGUGGGAAGGCGAAGUCGCAAGAUGGAGCCAAUUUGAGCGGAGGAGCCGACUAGAAAAACCUCUAGGGCUAAGGUAACAGUAAUCGUACCGCAAACCGACACAGGUGGGUGAGGCGAGAAGCCUCAGGUGUACGAGAGAAACUUCGUUAAGGAACUCGGCAAAACAGCGGCCGUAAUUUAGAGAUAAGGCCUGCCCCAGCAAUGGGGCCGCAGCUAAAGAGCGCAAGGGACUGUUUAUCAAAAACAUAGCUCUCUGCUAACUCGUAAGAGGAUGUAUAGAGGGUGAUGCCUGGCCAGUGUCCGAACGUUAAGAGGAGAGGUUAACCCUUCGGGGUGAAGCUUUGAAUCCAAGCGCGGAUGAACGCCGGCGAUAACUAUAAUCGUCCUAAGGUAGCGAAAUUCCUUGUCGGGUAAGUUCCGACCUGCACGAAUGGCUUAACCACUUGCGCACUGUCUCAACGAAGUACUCGGUGAAAUUGCAGGACGAGUAAAGAUGCUCGUUAACCAUAGUUGGACGAAAAGACCCCGUGAAGCUUUACUACAACUUGAUAUUGAAUUAGGGAUAUAUUUGUUCAGAAUAGGUGGGAGCCUUCGGGCACCAGUGAGAUACCACCCUUGUAUAUUUUUAAUUCUCACCCGUCAAUUGGCGGGGACAGUGUCUGGUGGGUAGUUUGUCUGGGGCGGAUGCCUCCCAAAAAGUAACGGAGGCGUUUACCAAGGUCGGCUAUCCCGGAAUGGAAACCCGGGAGAUAGUGUAAAGGCAUAAGCCGGCUUUACUGCGAGACCUACAAGUCAAGCAGUUGCGAAAGCAGAACUUAGUGAUCCGACCAUUCAAUAUAGGAUGGUGGAAGCUCAUCGGAUAAAAGCUACUCCGGGGAUAACAGGCUAGUCAGGUCCAAGAGUCCACAUCGACGACCUGGUUCGGCACCUCGAUGUCGGCUCGUCGCAUCCUGGGGGUGGAGAAGCUCCCAAGGGUUGGGCUGUUCGCCCAUUAAAGCGGCACGCGAGCUGGGUUCAGACCGUCGUAAGACAGGUCGGUCUCCUAUCCACUAUGGUCGUGGAAACUUGAGAGGGCCCUUCCUUAGUACGAGAGGACCGGGAAGGACGAAGCUCUAGUGUACCAGCUGUUCCAUCAGGGGCACUGCUGGGUAGCUACCUUCGGUUAAGAUAAGCGCUGAAAGCAUCUAAGCGCGAAGCUGUCCUCAAGAUUAGGUUUCAUAGACUGGUUAGAGAAUAUAACCUUGAUAGGCCGUACGUGUAAGUCCAGUAAUGGAUUGAGCGGAGCGGUACUAAUAUGUCAUUUGAUUUUCCCA
rnacentral:rRNA from 1 species